CCUACGGGGGGCAGCAGUGGGGAAUAUUGCACAAUGGGGGAAACCCUGAUGCAGCGACGCCGCGUGAGUGAAGACGUAUUUCGGUAUGUAAAGCUCUAUCAGCAGGGAAGAAAUAAAGUCCUUCGGACUUUGGACGGUACCUGACUAAGAAGCCCCGGCUAACUACGUGCCAGCAGCCGCGGUAAUACGUAGGGGGCAAGCGUUAUCCGGAUGUACUGGGUGUAAAGGGAGAGUAGGUGGCAGAGCAAGUCGGGAGUGAAAACCCAAAGCUCAACUAUGGGAAUGCUUUAGAAACUGGUCAGCUAGAGUGCAGGGGAGGCAAGUGGAAUUCGUAGUGUAGCGGUGAAAUGCGUAGAUAUUAGGAGGAACACCAGUGGCGAAGGCGGCUUGCUGGAGUGUAACUGACACUGAGGCUCGAAAGCGUGGGGAGCAAACAGGAUUAGAUACCCGGGUAGUC
rnacentral:rRNA from 1 species